UGAGCCAGACUUCAGAAAGCCACUCCAAACAGCUGAGUUUACGGGUUUCUUCUUCGAGGUUUCGAGCCUUCCUUAUUAUUUUUGCAUUUUACCUUCAUUAUUUGAGGAAGAAGACUGAAUCUAAUGAAGGAGAAGGUGGAAGGAGUGGAGAUAAGGGUAAACAGUGUACCUGACAACCACUAAGAUUGAUUACAACGCAGCAGCCAUGGGUGAGGCGGGAGAGGCGCCGACCCCAGCCGUGGUGAAAGAGGGAUGGCUCAACAAGCGAGGCGAGCACAUCAAGAACUGGCGGCAGCGGUACUUCUUCCUCCUUGAGGAUGGGACGCUCCUGGGCUUCAAGACCAAGCCAGAACAUGGGCUGGCAGACCCCCUUAAUAAUUUUACUGUUAAGCGCUGCCAGAUUCUUAAAACAGAGAAGCCACGUCCCAACACUUUUAUCAUACGAGGUCUACAUUGGACGACUGUCAUUGAACGAACUUUUAAUGCACAGUCUGCCAGUGACAGAGAAGCAUGGAUGGAAGCAAUCAAGCAAGUGGCAGAGCGGAUAGCAGAGGUGGAUGCGACGUCUGGCCAGAAUGUCCAAAUCCAGCCUGCAGAUUGUGUUGACAUAAAACUCAAUUAUUCACAGGAAGAUGAUGAUGGGCUUGGGGCGAGAAGCUCAAAGAAGAAAAGAAAAAUUACACUGGAUAACUUUGAAUUCUUAAAGGUACUUGGGAAAGGCACAUUUGGGAAAGUAAUCUUGUGCCGAGAGAAGAGUAGUAAUCACUUUUAUGCUAUCAAGAUCCUUCGUAAGGAUGUAAUAAUUAAGCGUGAUGAAGUUGCUCACACUCUGACAGAAAACCGGGUGUUGCAAAGGGUAGACCACCCUUUCCUUACGUACCUCAAGUACUCGUUUCAAACAAAUGACCGCCUGUGCUUUGUGAUGGAGUAUGUGAAUGGUGGAGAGCUCUUCUUCCAUCUCAACCAGGAGCGCAUCUUCCCAGAAGAACGUGCCAAAUUCUAUGGGGCCGAGAUCUGCUUGGCUCUGGGAUACCUCCAUGAGAGAAACAUUAUAUAUCGUGAUUUAAAGCUAGAGAACUUACUCUUGGAUGCUGAUGGUCACAUUAAGAUUGCUGAUUUUGGCUUAUGCAAAGAAGAUAUAUCCUAUGGUUCUACUACACGAACUUUCUGUGGUACGCCAGAGUAUCUGGCUCCAGAGGUACUUGAAGAAAAUGACUAUGGACGAGGUGUUGACUGGUGGGGUUAUGGAGUGUGCCUUUAUGAGAUGAUGGUAGGACGUCUUCCCUUUUACGACAAAGAUCAUGACAAACUCUUCCAGCUCAUCGUUUGUGAAGACGUAAGAUUCCCACGUACAAUAUCACAAGAAGCACGAGACCUUCUUAGGGGCCUGCUGCACAAGGACCCAAACACACGUCUUGGAGGUGGACCCAGAGACGUGAAGGAGGUUCAGAAUCACCCCUUCUACAUCACCAUCAACUGGGAGUUACUAGAGGAAAAGAAAAUUACACCUCCUUUCAAACCACAAGUAACAAGUGAGACAGACACGCGCUACUUUGACAGAGAGUUUACUGGAGAGUCUGUGCAGCUGACUCCCCCAGACCAGGGAGAACAUCUCAACAGUAUUGAUGAGGAGUCUGAGUACUUUACUUUCAACCAGUUUUCAUAUCAGGACAUCUCAUCAACCCUAGGCAGCUCAUUAGCAUCAAGUCUCAAUUCCCUAGACGUUACAGAAGAAGGGUAAAGUGAAACUAUGUAUGGAGGCUCUUUGAGGAGAUUGAUGAAAAAUGAAGUUUUGAAAAUAUAUAAAAACAGACAAGAUAUUACACCCUGAGAUCACCCACCUUAUUGUCAGAAUGAUGAGAAAACAGGACAUGUGUUGGUAAAUCUUGGUAGUUCUUUUCUGUUAAUCUCACAGCUGACUUGAAAUUUGUCUUCAAUUUCAUUUUCAUAUUGUCCUCCUCCAUCUUCUAUUACUACUACUACUCUUGACUUCUGUUCCCACUCCACCUCCUCCUCCUCCUCCUCCUCCUCCUCCUCCUCCUGCCCUUUUUUUUUCUUUUUCUCAUCCUCCAUCUUAUUUUCUUUUGUUGUAUUAUUUCUUCAUUUUGUUCAGAGGCAAAUUAAUAAGAAUUGACAAAUAUGAAAUAGAGAAGGUUUGCAGUUCACUCUCUUUCAGAGGCAUUAUUUUUUAUAUUCUGUAAUAGUUUAGGGCAUUAUUUUCUCAUGGUAAAAUUAAGAUAUUGGCAACAUUGGGUUUGAUUUAGGGAAAGGCUUAUUUACUGUUCAUGCAUAGCAAAAUGUCAUGAGAAUUUUACCUCAGUUUACAUAUAUAAUUUAGUUACCAGAAUUGUAGGCAACUAUUAUACUAGAAAUAGAGACAGAUCUUUUUAAAAGGCAGCUAUCUUUAAUUUGCAUCUUAUUACAUGCUGAGUGAAGACGAGAAAAGGAGUAGUUGUUUUUUUAACUUUUCAAAGCUCUGUCAACUUGUUGGAUUCAUCAGUUAUCUCAGCUUGAAGGAUUAAAUGAUCAUUUUUAGCCAUUUAAACCUUUUUUUACUAGUUUCAAACCAUAUAUGUACAGUCCUUCACAUUUAAUCUUUGAAUUUCAUCGGUUGUAGAGUGCAAUGUCUCUUAGAGGUUUUUCAAAUUAAUCAUAACUCAACAGCCCCUUUAUAUUAAUAAGAAAUAUUUUUUUUCUCCUAUCUCUCUAUUUCUCUCUUUCUCUCUGUUUUAAAGAUUUCUUCUUGAAAUCGUUUUUGAUAUCGAAGUCUGUUGUGUGACAUGUAUAAAUGUACAUGUAUAGUUCUUCAUGAAGAGAGCAUCGUAGGAUAUAUACACAUUGUGUAUAUGGUUCUUUCUUUUCUUUCAGUCUUAUUAGACUAGUUCUUGAUAUUUCCUCUAACAUAAAUUUUCAAAGUAUGCUAAUGGAAUAUAAGUAUUUCAUGUAGAGAAAGGAUAUAUGUGUGUGUAUAUAUAUUUCAAGUAACUUCUUUUAUGUUCUUGAUAGAAGUUGAUUUCAUAUUGAAUCUAAGAUUGAAUUUCACAGGUUUCUUGACAAGGAAUAAAAAGCAGCAGGAGUUUCAAAGCACAAAAUGACUCUCUUUCUUGUCAUAAUGACCUAUGUGACUCAAAUCUUGUAUCUAUGAAUUGUUUAGUGGAUUAAUUUGAAUGUAAUGUGUCUGGAUUAUAUGCAUUACUGAAUCUUUUUCCAUUGAUUUACAUUUGAAUAUCCCAAUGAAGAUCUUAAAGACAAACUAGACAUGUAGAUAGUCUCAUAAUUUGACUCUUCAUGCCUAUUCAGUCUGUGCAGUAUUGUUAUUGGUAGGCAAAUGUUUAUUUAUGUUCACUCCACAUUGAAAUCAUUUAUGUAUUUUUUUUUCAAUAUUGUAUUUUUUUCUGUCAUGAAAUAAGAAAAGAUAAGGAUCUUGUUAUACUGACAAUUUCAGUAUUACUUAUUAGAAGUUUAAAGCUGAGUGCCAUUAUAUUCAUCUGUUGAAUGGAACUCAGGAAGCAAAAUAUGAAUAACUGUAAUAGGAAUUUCCCUCCCCCCUUUUUUCUAUUUUCUCUUUGAUGAUGAGAUAUAGUAUGCAUAUUCAAUUGUGCACGCUAUAGCUUUCAGAAAGAUUCUUUAGCUGUAACCUUCAGUUACAGAGAAAGAUGUAACCAUAGUGAUGUUACAGGAAUUUUCAAUAUCUUGAGUGUAAUUACCCAUCUUCCUGCUUUGCAAUUUCUAGCCUUGUUUGCAAUACCUUUGUACCUCAUAAAAAGAGAACAAAAAAAAGUCUUUUGAUAUGAAGAUUCUUCAAACCAUGAUCAUUUCCGUUUUUUCUUAUCCUAGGAACAAUAUUGUUGUUAUUUCUAUCCUCCUCAUGCGUUUGUGAGAUAAAUUGGUAAAUUUUAUCAUAUUAAAUGUUUUGUUUUUUCCAGGCUCUUUUUUAAGUUUUUAUUAUAUUGCUAUUUGCAAUAACAAGUCUCUUGCACUAGCUCAAAGUUUGUGAUAGGAUUCACAUAGGCCAAAUGUAAAGAUGUGCUAUAGAAAAAACGCCCUAAAGAAGUGAAAUUACCCAAGUUACACCCUUAUCUUUAGUGAUUCCCAGUAAUUGUGAAGGUAGAAUUCACGCCCAAACAUGCUAAUAACUAAAUAUGAGCUUAUUUCUUCACAGUAAGGAAACAGAGGCCAAGAUAUGCAUUUUUUUAUAUUUCACCGUCAGAACUUUUCGGCAUCUUGUUAGGGGGAUAAAUUGAUUGUAUCUUUUAUUUUGGUUAUUCUGAGAAAGUAAUUUAUAUACUUGCAUUUACCAUGUUUUUUGUCUAGUCUGGAUAUUGUAGUUGUUGUGAUAAAGUAUUAGCUAUUUCAGAUGAAGGUAAUUUGCUCUAACAACCCUGAUGUUCAUUCUGUAAUGCUGCAAAAUGGAAAAUGAGAGAUUAAACAUUUUGGCUAAAGAAGAAAGACUCUUCUAUGGAAUAGGAUUAUAUCUGCCUCUAUUCUGUGACCUUUAGUGUAGGAAAAUGCCUUUCUUGAUGUUACUCUUUAAGUGACACUUAGGAAACAACAAACUAACUCCAAAAAUGUCAUUAUUUUAAAUUUUUACAGAGAUAUGAAUGUAGGUGUUGUGAUUCCCUUUUAUGCAUAAUAAAUAUGAUGAGUUAAAGAGCCUCUGGCAAGUAAGACAGCUGGACCCAAGGCUCUUGCUUGUCAAAUCUUGGAGUUAUAAGUCAGUUCUAGAGAUAUUAAAGGAGAAGUACCAGUUGUUUUGCUUUUGUUCAUUAGUUCCUAUAACUACUUCUCACAAAUAUAGUCUUGGAUACAUUUGUUUGAGCUUUUUUGGAUAUACAGUAUGAUGCAUGGGCUGUUUAUAUUAAAUAAACCCUAGCCCUUUAUUUUGAAGAAAAAAUAAAUCAACCUUCCACCUCUGUUCUUGUGUCAAAGAGUUAUAUAAUUUUCUUUAUUUUUGUCACUCCUUUCAUUUAAAAGUUCUUAUGAAUACUGUAUCUAUUGUGUAUCCUGAAUAGACCUCAAUUUUUAUUGGAUAAUGUAUACCAUGUUAAACAUGUUGUUGUCAGAUUUUCUUUAAUCUUUCUUUAUUAUUUUAUCUGGUAAAAUAUGCUUAUAAAUUUACUAUUUGUAUUUGUUUUGUGUUCCUAGUAUUUAAUGACCUUCCGAAAUUAUACACCACAGUUUAUAGUUAUAUUACCUAUAAUGUAACUUAAGAAAAUAAUAAUAAUAAUUUAAUGUAGUGGACUUACUUAAGCAGUUGUACUGUUUUUAAUUGCAGGAUUGAGUCUUGCCUGAUUAUUAUAGUGAAUCCUUUCCUGUCAUUGUAGGUGUCAACAGUCCUCUGUUGUUCUGGAGAUCUUUUGGAAUCACAUUUUAGUGAAAAUAUUUAAACUGAAUUACUUGUACAUGGGAUAUGACUAAUUUUCUCAUGUUUGACUAUGCCACAUAGAUAUAUCCUGACUUAUUAGAAGUAGAUGAAAAAAUAGAUUUUCACUUUUUUCUCUCUCUUUUUUUAACAUGGGUUUCUGGUUAUAUUCCAGUUCCUUUUGUAGCUCAAAGGAGGUGCUUGACAGUUACUCUUUAUUUCAGAUUGCUUGUCAACCCUUACAUAAUGCACAUGGUCAGUGCUGUAUACAUAUAUAUGUUAGUAAGGGAGGUAGAAUGGUGUUUAAGAAUCUAUGAAACCCUUUCAGAUGUAUUGUAUUUACCCAUUUUUAGAGAAGACUGGAGGAAUAAAUACUUUGGCAAGAUUUAGAGAUCUGGAAAGACAUAUUUAGCAUUACAUGUCAUGUUUUGAUAUGCUAAAUACAGAGAAGAAUUGCAAAGAAAUUAAGUGGAUCCCAAAUUAUGCAUAUUUAUAUUUGCUUCUGGUGUAUAUAUAGUAAUACUGUAUAGGAUAUAGUAAUAUGGGCAGUAUUACCAAUCAUUUUCUAGAGAACAGCACAAAAUUCUUUUCUUUCUCUCUUUCUUGUCAUAUCUUAGAUUUAUGGAAAGAAUGAUUACAAGAUGAAACUCCCUUAAAAGCAUGUGUUGCUAAUUUGCCUGAUGUUGGUUCCGAUAUAAUUCAUUGCAAACAGACUUUCCCAAACAUUGCACAAAUGGAAUGAAAGUGUGAUAUGAUCCUGUAAUAGGUGUUGCACCUGAAUCACUUCAAGAGCCGCCCAGAAUUUCAUUUUAAAUGUAAAUUGUAUGAUGCUAGUCUCAGGUUCCUCCAUUGCUGGAACUGACAUCAGUGUUUUAUGUCAUCAUUAGUAAAACUAUUGAUUGAGCUGUUCACCAACUAGUUACACUAGGACUUAGAAAAGGUAAUGGAUGUAUACUAAACACACCACUGUUAGUCUGAAAAAUACCAGAUUCUAAUUUUGAGCUGUUAAAAAUGAGUGUCCUUACAAUGCUAAGACCCAAAGCACACAACUAAAUCAUGGGUUUCGGCUAAAGAAAAAUGAGGAGGAUAAUGCUGAAAAAUUGCAUGACACCAGAUGUCAGAUGUGUGUGAAAGAAUCUUUCAAUUGAGAUGCUUGAAACAGAUAAAUAGAUUACAAAAAUGCUUACAUUAUGUACACCACUUACUAAAUUUUGGGGUUCACAUAAUUUCUCACCUGAAAAUAUCAAAUGGAAGAAUACAUGGUGGACGAAAGGUUUAAAUGAGACUGAAUAACUUCACAAUGUAAGAGAUUUAAUUAACAUGUUCUGAUUAAAUCUUCAUAAGAAUUUCAUGAUUUCAUCAAAACAUUAAUCACAUUUCAGGUUGUGAAGUUAUUCAUUCUCAUUUAUACCUUUAUCUACAGAUGUCACAAUGAACUUUGAUCAUGUUCAACUAUGUAAUAUUUCUGAAUGCCAUGUAUUUAAUCAUACAGUCUUAAUUUCUUUUCAAAGAAUAAGUGAUAUUCUGCUUAGCUUUCACCUAAAAAGAGGAUAAAUACAGUAUCCAUAAGGGUUCAAUGAACCUUACAGCACCUCUGUACUGUGUUCUCAAAAGAUGCAUGCUGUUAGUAUGUGGACAAAAUGAGCUUACUAUUAUAUCACGAAUUAUGGCAGGAAAAAAACAAGUUUGUUUGCUAUUUAGAAAGAAACUUUGAAAAGAAAUGGUUUAAAACAUUUUAUAAUGUAUGUAUAUGUAUUUUGUACAGUGUGUAUCAUAAUAUUACUUAUGUUGGAAUAAGGUAUUGCUGUAAACUGAUCCAUUUGU
rnacentral:misc_RNA from 1 species